rnacentral:tmRNA from 1 species
GUUCUUCAAAUGUGAACCCAUAGGACCUAUAUGUGUCCUGUCGGGUUUCGGCCCGACUAUGAGGAUAAACGCGCACGUAAUAAGCGGACUGGACCCGGGUGCGAUUCCCGGCGGCUCCACCAAAUCUUUCCCCCGGUUAUCGCGGGCAAGUGCGGGGCCGAUCAGCAUCGACAGACGUCUAAAGGUGUUGCUUUCUUCCGGCUUGGCCCACCGUUUCGGGCCUUAAUCUAAAUGCGAACGAUAACUUCGCUGAAGAAGUCCGUUUGGCCGCGUAAGCGACCCGAUAGAUUUCGACCUAAACUCCUAGCGUCUUAGCAGCGCUAGGCGGGGCCCGGAGGGCGCCUUGCAACAGAAGCCCUCCACC